AAGAAAGAAAGAAAGAAAGAAAGAAAGAAAGAAAGAAAGAAAGAAAGAAAUGGAAUUAAAACAGAAACGAAACAGUCAUUGAGUAGAAAUAAUUAAAUACAAAUGUAUUAUUCACAAUCAAAAGAGAGUUAUAAGAACAUAAAUAUCAUGAAGUUAAAACGCUUGAAAACAGUUAAGCAUGGUGAGAAAAUACUGGCAUGCCAAAUACAAGAAAUAAUAAUAAUUUUAAAAUCCCUUUGAAAAUAAGUGAAGAUGGCACUUGCACAGUCAAUAACUCUGAAACCUUGGCAGAAGUCAAAAGAUAUUUUCCUCUUUUAUGGAAAACUGAGUGACCAAACCAAGAACAAACAAAACAUGAUUUUACUACGGCUCAACUUUCUUUUUUCUGACCAAGAUGACUAGUGGAAUUUCAAUUAAGGAACUGGCAGAAAUGAAUCAUGCAAUUUAUUCCGAACAAAAACAAAAAUCUAGUAUUUUAAAAAGUUGAAAAGUAGGGUGAAACAAAAGGGAAUAGGAAAACACACAAGUACAGUGGUACCUCAGGUUAAGUACUUAAUUCGUUCCGGAGGUCUGUUCUUAACCUGAAACUGUUCUUAACCUGAAGCACCACUUUAGCUAAUGGGGCCUCCUGCUGCCGCCGUGCCGCCAGAGCAUGAUUUCUGUUCUCAUCCUGAAGCAAAAUUCUUAACCUGAAGCACUAUUUCUGGGUUAGCGGAAUGUAACCUGAAGCGUAUGUAACCUGAAGUACCACUGUACUUGCAUUAUGCUUGUACUCACUCCCUCCCCUAAUAGUAACAGUUGUGGGGAAAGGAAGGGGAUUAUAUCAGGAAAAUAACAUGUGGGAAAGGCUCAAUUGCUGCUCCCUCCCCAGUGCAGCCGCUCCAGUAAAAUCCAGAAAACUAUGAGCCAGCUUUUAGGUAAAAAAUUGAAAUGUCGGGAGAACUUAUCAUGGAUCUUGUGUGUCUCGCCUUGCUUUGGCCCUCAGAGAUUUGACAGUAGUUGAAACAAUGAUAACAUCUUUUUGAUAAGGAGCGCUCACGUUGCAAUCCUACACACACUUACUUGGGAGAAAUUCCCAUUGAACUCAAGAGGACUGGCUUCUGGUUAGGCAUGUAUGGACUUGGACUGUUAGUGUCAAAGAACUGCUGGAAAGAAUUGCGACACACAGCAAAUACCAAAACAAAACUUCACAUGCGUCAUCUAAUACGCAUUGACAUUUGGAGGGGCUGGGGGCGGGAUUACAAACGUUUGUUUUGGUUUUAGUUUGGGCCAGGCACCAAAAUAUAAUGCUUGUGGGGACAUUGAUGGGAAUUCUCCCAUUUCAGGACCGUUAAACAAUAUAAUGGAUUUUUUCACCCUACUUUCAGUAAUAUGUGCAUUUCUACACACACCUUUCCCUAGAACAGGGUUCCCCAAAUUUGGUUCUCCAGUCUGUUGUUGGACUACAACUCCCAUCAUCCAUAGCUAGCAGGACCAGUGGUUGUCCCAGAUGAAGGGAGUUGUAGUCCAGGAACAGCUGGAGACCCAGGUUUGGAAAAACCCUGCCCUAGAAUCAUAGCUGUCAACUUUUCCCUUUUCUUGCGAGGAAUCCUAUUCGGAAUAAGGGAAUUUCCCUUUAAAAAAAGGGAAACGUUGACAUCUAUGCCUAGAAUAUAUGUUUUCAUACAGCAUCAUUUGGUUGGAGAACCUCAUUGCAUAAUUCAGAAAAGUACCAGUUUUAGAGGAGUGGCCAUAUUUUGCAUCGUGCAUUGUUAUGGGAAGUGCAGAUUGAGUAGGCUUGCCUUUAAAUGCAAACUGAAUCAAAUCUCUCUCCCCAUCCUUAGAUUUCUUGCUCAGUCGGUCCAGGAGUUGCUAACUGCUGAUGGGUAACAUCAAGGUCUCCUCCUUGCAUCUCCCUUCUCAGGGGUCUUUACCUCUAAACUGGGCUUGGACCAACCAGCCCUUCCAAGAGAUGACACCUUCCAUUAGAGGACGACAUGUCCCCUGACAGCGGCCCCCUCAAAGAGAGGACUGUCCUUGGUAAUGUAGGACACCAUAUAACCAACCUAGUGACACUGGUCUGUAUCGCUCCUCUGCCUGUUCAUUGUGCCUGGGGCUUUUCUGCUGUAGAAAGUGUGACAGGAAUUUUGAGGUCUUAGAUAUAUGUUAAUGUUCAUAAGUGUACCAACCAAGCACGUACAUAGAUCAGAACAGGAAGACCGACCUGGAACCAUUUUUGAUUCCCAAACUGUCCCAAACUGACCAAAUGUUUUCUCUGCAAGGUCAAGGAAAAUGGAAAAACCUCCCCAUUGUCUUUUCCUUCACAAAUCCUGUCUUAAGGGUAUGUCUGUGUUUGAACAGGGUGAGCCUGUAACCUGACUGAGGAACUAAGUAUUUAUCAUUACUAAGUAUUUAUCAUUACAAAAGACUGGCCAGGCUCCCCAGGGUAUCCAGUCAAGUAACCUGCCAGACAGGAGAUAAACAAUGACAGGAGAAAAACAACAUUCAAAUUUCUGUUUUAGACCGCCUUUUCUGUGAUGUAGGUAUGAUGUAUCUGGGGUGGUGGUCUUGAGCUACACCCCUUCUGUGAUGUAUGUAUGAUGUUUCUGGGGGUAGUCUUGAUCUACAGUGUGGCAAUUUCAACAUGUCUAUAUAAGGCCUUGCACUCCAUUGUUCUGGGUUCCUCCUCCUUUCCUGCGAGUGAGGGGAGCACCCUGUUGCAACAGAUCAAUAAAGAUCAAGCUUACUAGCUACUUUGCUUUUCAAUAUUCUCUUGUUGGCCUCUGUUAUUUUCUCCUACCAAUAGGAAACCUACGUAAGGACUCUAUAUGGGCUCUUGGAUACCCCAUAAGGGGAAAAGGGCAGAUUUUGUUUACAACAAAAGAGAGCACAGAUUUGGAGGCCCGCCUCCGCCUGUGGUCUAGCAGGAUUUCCCCUGCCUCUCUCAGCUGACAGUUUAUCGGCACCGGAGAAAAUGCUAAAGGGGGCAGACUCUAAAUGUUUACUCCCUCUCUUACUUUACUUCCUCCACUCUCGCCCAAGGGAUGGGGGAAGCCCCCAAAAGUUAUUCAUCAAAGCAGAGCAGCAGCAAAAGUGCUGAGGGUGGGAUGGCAAGUGAGACGGAAAGAAGACUUGCUUCAGUUGCACAGGCAGUCUCUGGCAGAGGAGGCCCCUGAAACCGCAACUUUG
rnacentral:lncRNA from 1 species